AAUGGAGGAAACUCUGACCCAGCCAUGCCGCGUGUGUGAUGAAGGCCCUAGGGUUGUAAAGCACUUUCAUUGGUGAAGAUAAUGACGGUAACCAAAGAAGAAGCCCCGGCUAACUUCGUGCCAGCAGCCGCGGUAAUACGAAGGGGGCUAGCGUUGUUCGGAAUCACUGGGCGUAAAGAGCGUGUAGGCGGAUAUGUAAGCUAGGGGUGAAAGCCCGGGGCUCAACCUCGGAACUGCCCUUAGAACUGCAUAUCUAGAAUCUCGGAGGGGAUAGGGGAAUUCCUAGUGUAGAGGUGAAAUUCGUAGAGACUAGGAGGAACACCGGUGGCGAAGGCGCCUAUCUGGACGAGUAUUGACGCUGAGACGCGAAAGCGUGGGGAGCAAACAGGAUU
rnacentral:rRNA from 1 species